UACGUAGGCAGCGAGCGUUGCUCGGAAUCACUGGGCGUAAAGCGCACGUAGGCGGCUUGCUAAGUCAGGGGUGAAAUCCUGGAGCUCAACUCCAGAACUGCCCUUGAUACUGGCGGUCUCGAGUCCGGGAGAGGUGAGUGGAACUGCGAGUGUAGAGGUGAAAUUCGUAGAUAUUCGCAAGAACACCAGUGGCGAAGGCGGCUCACUGGCCCGGUACUGACGCUGAGGUGCGAAAGCGUGGGGAGCAAACAGG
rnacentral:rRNA from 1 species